CUCAUCUGUAAAAUGAAGAGAAAGAUGUCAAUUGCUUGGGUUUUGAGAAAGAGGCCAUUAUCAUAAGUGAAGUAACUCAGAAAUGGAAAUCCAAUUAUCAUAUAUUCUCACUUAUAAGUGGGAGGUAAGCUAUAAGGAUGCAAAGGCAUAUAAUGGAAUGAUAUAAUGGACUUUGGGGACUCAGGGGAAGAGUGGAAGGUGGGUGAAGGUUAAAAGACUAAACAUUGGGUA
rnacentral:lncRNA from 1 species